GCCGCUGUGGUGAAACUGGCAGACGCAGCAGACUCAAAAUCUGCCGGACUAACAUCCGUGUCGGUUCGACUCCGACCAGCGGCACCA
rnacentral:tRNA from 1 species